ACGCUGGCGGCGUGCCUAACACAUGCAAGUCGCACGAGNAAACACAUCCUUCGGGGUGUGGAGUAAAGUGGCGCACGGGUGAGUAACACGUGGGUAACCUGCCCUUGGAACCGGGAUAACUGGCCGAAAGGCCCGCUAAUACCGGAUAAGACCACAUGAGCUUCGGCUUAUGCGGCCAAAGUCGGCCUCUCGAAGAAGCCGGCGUCUGAGGAUGGGCCCGCGGACCAUUAGCUAGUUGGUGGAGUAACGGUUCACCAAGGCUGAGAUGGUUAGCUGGUCUGAGAGGAUGAUCAGCCACACUGGAACUGAGAUACGGUCCAGACUCCUACGGGAGGCAGCAGUGAGGAAUAUUGCGCAAUGGAGGAAACUCUGACGCAGCAACGCCGCGUGGGCGAAGAAGGCUUUCGGGUUGUAAAGCCCUGUCAGGUGGGAAGAAACUACCUUGGGUAAAUAGCUCAAGGAACUGACGGUACCACCAAAGGAAGCACCGGCUAACUCCGUGCCAGCAGCCGCGGUAAGACGGAGGGUGCAAGCGUUGUUCGGAAUCACUGGGCGUAAAGCGCGUGUAGGCGGUUCGAUUAGUCGAGUGUGAAAGCCCGAGGCUCAACUUCNGGAAGCGCAUUCGAAACUGUCGGGCUUGAGUACGGGAGAGGGAANUGGAAUUCCUGGUGUAGAGGUGAAAUUCGUAAAUUUCAGGAGGACACCGGUNGCGAAGGCGGUUCCUGGACCGAUACUGACGCUUAGACGCGAAANGUGGGGAGCAACAGGAUAAANACCUGGUANUCCACCCCUNAACUGUNAGCGCUA
rnacentral:rRNA from 1 species